UCCGAGUUGACCCCGGCAGUCUCCCACGAGUCCCCGCCAUUACGCGCUGGCAACAUAGGAUAAGGGUUGCGCUCGUUGCGGGACUUAACCCAACACCUCACGGCACGAGCUGACGACAGCCGUGCAGCACCUGUGCGCGCUCCCUCGCGGGUCCCUCACCUUUCGGCUCGGUACCACGCGCAUGUCAAGCCUGGGUAAGGUUCUUCGCGUUGCAUCGAAUUAAACCACACGCUCCGCUGCUUGUGCGGGCCCCCGUCAAUUCCUUUGGGUUUUAGCCUUGCGGCCGUAGUCCCCAGGCGGAGUACUUAACGCGCUAGCUACGGCUCUCAGGGGGUCGAUACCCCGAAAACCUAGUACUCAUCGUUUAGGGCGUGGACUAC
rnacentral:misc_RNA from 1 species